rnacentral:rRNA from 1 species
UACGUAGGGGGCUAGCGUUGUCCGGAUUUAUUGGGCGUAAAGAGCGUGUAGGCGGCCAGGUAGGUCUGCUGUGAAAACUCGAGGCUUAACCUCGAGCUGUCGGCGGAAACCCUCUGGCUAGAGUCCGGAAGAGGAGAAUGGAAUUCCCGGUGUAGCGGUGAAAUGCGCAGAUAUCGGGAAGAACACCCGUGGCGAAGGCGGUUCUCUGGGACGGUACUGACGCUGAGACGCGAAAGCG